rnacentral:siRNA from 1 species
UGAAAAGAUGUAACUGGUAAGAAU